UGUCGGAAAAUUUUUGACAGUAAUAGUACAUUACGCCCUUGUUUGGAGAUUUGUAUUUUGCCGAGAUGGAGGUUUGUAGCCAGAGCCAA